rnacentral:lncRNA from 1 species
AACCACCCCACUUGGGGAGAAUAUACAUAGCAAACUGAUCACAACAGGUAGAUUCUGCAAUAUAAGCCACUCUACUGGGGAUCACAAACAGUCAGGAAAUCAAUCCAUUCUCUGGAGGCCAAAGCCAUCAUCCGACCAUACUGGGGAUUGAAGGAAUAUCCAGCGGGCAAAACUGCCACAACAAACAUUCUGCAGACUACGCUGAGGAAAAG